AAGAAACUUGGCAUAUUCUAUUCUUGCAUUCAGCCUCCUUUUCAGUGCUUCCUGCUCUUUCAUCUUAUCUUGAAAGGUUGAUGGCAACAUGUUGGGGAACAAUUUCAGGAAUACUGGUAGCAGAAAUUCCAUGAAUGGAACAAUGAUAAAGACUGCAAAGGGUACUAGUCUAAAAAUGUCUGCAGUGGUACGGGUAAGCUGUUGCCUCUCCCUUCUGGAUAAACUCCUCCCACCAGCAAGUUUUAAUAGCAAUCUUGAACUGAUCCUCACAUCAGCCCACAGAAGCUUAAAACCUAACCAGUAAUGUUUCAAUGUUGAGACAAAUUCAUGUUUCCAGUGAGCAAGUUUCUUGGCCCAGUCCUCCCUGCUCAUAGAAGCUACAGCCCUUAAAGCAGGACCAAUCCCAAGCAGCAAAGCCCAUGUUCUUUGUAAAAUUGAUUUAGCCACCUUUUGAGAUUCAUGCAAACGUAUGGCUUUCACUUUGGCUUUUGCUGAACUCAAACCUUCAACAGCUUGAUCACAUUCUUCAGGAGAUGCUUCCUUUCUCUUUCUAGCAACUAUUUCUUCAUUUUCUUCAUCACUCCCCAAGUCAGGUUGCUUAGCCGUAGCAGUUGAUGCAUCACGAACAGAAAGUGACAUCAACCUCAUUGGAUAAAGAAACUCUGUUUGCACACGGCCAUGACCCAAAAUUGCAGUACUGUAAAAUCUAUGCCUAAACUGCCCUACGCCUGAAAAGCCAAGUAAUCCUGCUCUUGCCACUAAAUUUCUAUUUGGCUCCUUUACAUAAUUAAAAUUUGAAGAUGAUUGUUUUGCAGUAUCAUUAUAUCUGCAGGCAUCCAAAUUCUGAGUUGCAUGACCAAGGCAUUGGAAGCUCUGAAUUGAGCGAGUUGAGGCAUUCAGGUAAUCAGAAAUCACUCUCUUCCGUCUUAAAAUUGCUCUAGAAGCCAUUUGUUAGAUCCCUUGUUGCAAAGAGAAAUGCGUUCGCAUUUAUUAGCAAACCUCUCAAUUGUGAGUUCUCAAACAAGAAACUCAGUGCCAGUGAUCGAGAGAUGAAUAAAUCAGAGGAAUGGGAAAAAAUUAAGGACUUGAAGAGUAAAAACUUUUUAAAUAGAAAAAACUGCAAUUUCUUAUUAGGGCCGCAGCCUGCAAGACUGGGGGUUUUAGAAGGGGAUGGGAAAGGAGAUCUUCUGCGGCGCAGGUGCACGACUAUA
rnacentral:misc_RNA from 1 species